AACGAACGCUGGCGGCAGGCCUAACACAUGCAAGUCGAGCGAGGACUUCGGUUCUAGCGGCGGACGGGUGAGUAACGCGUGGGAAUGUGCCCUUCUCUACGGAAUAGCCCUGGGAAACUGGGAGUAAUACCGUAUACGCCCUUUUGGGGAAAGAUUUAUCGGAGAAGGAUCAGCCCGCGUUGGAUUAGGUAGUUGGUGGGGUAAUGGCCUACCAAGCCGACGAUCCAUAGCUGGUUUGAGAGGAUGAUCAGCCACACUGGGACUGAGACACGGCCCAGACUCCUACGGGAGGCAGCAGUGGGGAAUCUUAGACAAGGGGGGCAACCCUGAUCUAGCCAUGCCGCGUGAGUGAUGAAGGCCUUAGGGUUGUAAAGCUCUUUCAGCUGGGAAGAUAAUGACGGUACCAGCAGAAGAAGCCCCGGCUAACUCCGUG
rnacentral:rRNA from 1 species